UAAGAUAAAGAUACAAUGUUUUCCGAUGUUAACCACAUAUUAACUAGCAAAUUUUUCAUUUACAAUUCAACAAAAUUGAUUCCAAACAGUUUAUUGGGAAGCGCGGGCAUGAUUGUUCUCAUAUGGGUCAUCAGAAUGAUUGACAUACCGUAAGCUUCAUGUAAAUAGCUUCUAAAGGUUGUAGGCGGAUAACAAGCUCAUUUCUCCCCUGCUUCUUACCUGAAAAUGUUUGACAUAAGGGUUUAUACAUUUGAGAGAUUGAAGAUAACUGAGGUAUUUGUUAUGAAGAAUACAUGACAGCUAAGAUUGAUGUUUUUCCCUACGCGCGUUCUCAAUUACCUCAUCAGUCUACUCAAGGGGUCUUUAAUCCACUACCUUUCCUUUUACUUCAACCUCACAUAGGCUCUAGUUAUAGCAGUUUAUCUAUCAUCUUAUCUUUCAACGUGAUGGCAUGUUUAAUUUAUCUGACACCACUUUCACUUGCAAGAUUGAUGUAGCCUCUAAUUCUGCAGAACAGAUUCCAAAUCCCAUUGUUAUAUAAUGAUUAACACAAAUUUAUAGCUGAACUGAUUAAGUAAUGCAUGCAAUCCCAAAUCUUCUAUACACUUUACAGUUUGGUGGACUUUUAUUUGUAAACUCAUGUCUAUGACUAUAUGAAGUUGAGUUUAUGAUGGACCCUACCCUAUAUAUUACAACAUGUGUAUUAAUUCAAAUAUAGUCGAUAAGACAUAUUGCCACUUCGAGAGGAAAUCAUGAACGCAAGUCAUUUAUAAAAAAGUCUUGUAAAUCUGAAUUAGAAACUUUUGCACAAGGAAAAGGAGCAUACGUGUCGAGAAUUAGACGCUCAUAAGCCUCCGGAAUGAUCAUCCCUUGAUACCGUUGCUUGUAUGACAAGUCUAGUUCACUUUGAACUGUAGACAUUUCCAGUCCAGGUUGCUUCACCUGCAUAUGAUAAGAAAGCAUAAGACAUUGGACUAGUCAGUGUAUCAUUACAUUAGUUCUAGUUCUAGUCCAGUUUAAAGAAUUUAACUAGCUGAUCAAUUACAUAGAUCUGUAGCACAUAUAACUUGCAGAAACUCAAGUCUAUAGAACCAUAUGCAUAAUCUAAUGUAUAAUUGUCUAAAAAUAAACUCACUAAUAGAGUAAACACACAAAAUAUAUCGUUAAGUGAACUGAUCAAGUAAAUCUUUCACAUUUUAUUUUACAGAAAAUUAACUGAUGGUGAGGUUCUUCAGUACUCAGCAAAUAGAUUCAGUCUAAUCAUCACAAGAAAAUAAGCAUAAGAUAAAGAUACAAUGUUUUCCGAUGUUAACCACAUAUUAACUAGCAAAUUUUUCAUUUACAAUUCAACAAAAUUGAUUCCAAACAGUUUAUUGGGAAGCGCGGGCAUGAUUGUUCUCAUAUGGGUCAUCAGAAUGAUUGACAUACCGUAAGCUUCAUGUAAAUAGCUUCUAAAGGUUGUAGGCGGAUAACAAGCUCAUUUCUCCCCUGCUUCUUACCUGAAAAUGUUUGACAUAAGGGUUUAUACAUUUGAGAGAUUGAAGAUAACUGAGGUAUUUGUUAUGAAGAAUACAUGACAGCUAAGAUUGAUGUUUUUCCCUACGCGCGUUCUCAAUUACCUCAUCAGUCUACUCAAGGGGUCUUUAAUCCACUACCUUUCCUUUUACUUCAACCUCACAUAGGCUCUAGUUAUAGCAGUUUAUCUAUCAUCUUAUCUUUCAACGUGAUGGCAUGUUUAAUUUAUCUGACACCACUUUCACUUGCAAGAUUGAUGUAGAUAUUAGAAUUCGGGUUAGGCCUAACUCUACCAGAAAAGCUAGCUUUGAGGUGAGGAUUUUUCUACCCUUCAUAAGGACUUAUUUAGUUAUAUCUCUAGUCAAUGUGAGAUCUCUCAAUAGUAGAGAUCAAACAACAAAAGAUGCAUGACAAAAGCAUAUUAAUUAAAGAG
rnacentral:lncRNA from 1 species